rnacentral:lncRNA from 1 species
UGUCUUUCCAGUUCCUCGUGGGCCUUGGAAAAGAUAAACAGGGGCAAUUCGUCCCCUGGAGAUUGCAUUCACUAGGGACUGAACAACAAUAUUCUGCCCAAUUAAUUCCUCGAAAAACAUUGGCUUGUACUUCUGGCUCAGGCUUCUGAUAUUUUCUGGGGAGCCCUCCUCUCCCCAAUUAAUUCCUCGAAAAACAUUGGCCUGUACUUCUGGCUCAGGCUUCUGAUAUUUUCUGGGGAGCCCUCCUCUCCAUAUUCUCCAUUCAGUGCCACCACUUCUAGUCCAUCUUGACUUCUGC